rnacentral:rRNA from 1 species
CCUACGGGUGGCAGCAGUGAGGAAUAUUGGUCAAUGGACGAGAGUCUGAACCAGCCAAGUAGCGUGAAGGAUGACUGCCCUAUGGGUUGUAAACUUCUUUUAUAUGGGAAUAAAAUGUUCCACGUGUGGGAUUUUGUAUGUACCAUAUGAAUAAGGAUCGGCUAACUCCGUGCCAGCAGCCGCGGUAAUACGGAGGAUCCGAGCGUUAUCCGGAUUUAUUGGGGUUAAAGGGAGCGUAGGUGGAUUGUUAAGUCAGUUGUGAAAGUUUGCGGCUCAACCGUAAAAUUGCAGUUGAAACUGGCAGUCUUGAGUACAGUAGAGGUGAGCGGAAUUUGUGGUGUAGCGGUGAAAUGCUUAGAUAUCACGAAGAACACCGAUUGCGAAGGCAGCUCACUGGACUGCAACUGACACUGAGGCUCGAAAGUGUGGGUAGCAAACAGGAUUAGAUACCCUUGUAGUC